rnacentral:lncRNA from 1 species
CGGGCGUCUGCUUAUAGGCGUUAAUCAGCCACGUCUAUAGAGUGGGCGGGUAACUGCUUCUCCCGAGUUGAGUUGACAUAAAGUUGAUAAGUCACAUCAACUAGCCUCUUGGAGACGUCAAAUCAAUUUAAACCUUAGGGGUAGAAAGGAUCUUAGCAAACACCUCUUUCUGAAAUUGGCGGCGUAUCUUCUGAUAGAGGUCUCCGGAGUGCACUUCCCCUCGGCAUCAUGGGCGAGGGGACUUCGGUCAAUUCGGCAGGAUUGUCUAUGUCUUGCAGUGUGAUAGUAGAUCGUUGACAUUAGGAAGAUCACUUUGGAACCACUUCGGGUAAGUGUCUAGUAGAUCAGAGUGCCUGGUGGUGGAGAUUUCGAGGUGGUUCAGAUAGGGGCGUAACAAUGGUCCUCCAAGUCCAGGUAUGAAUAUUUAUAACAUGGAUGGACUUGCUUUCCUGACCGGAUGUGUAUGCUUCGGUGUGUGGACCGUGACUUGUGGGAGUUUGUGGGCCGAUCUUCUGCAAUCGUCGAAGCGAUUAUCUUAGGUAGACGCUCUAAAGCUUCGCUACUGUGUAAGGAAAACAAUUACAUAUGUGAGACCAAAGUGCUGCAAGACUGGAUGAUGCGUAGGACGGAGGUCAACGCAUCGACCGAGGCGAUGACCUACAGUGGACUCGCAUCAAGUGCGUCUAUGCUUUGUAAAGUUGAGUGAGGAGCUCAUCUGCGACGCACUGGGGACUUCGCGUCAGGUGCGUCUAUGCUUUGUAAAGUUGAGUGAGGAGCUCAUCUGCCACCGGUGCGCUGACCCACAGGGGACGACGCGUUGGGAGAUGACUAAAACUUUGUAAAGCUUAGACGGGAACGCAUCAACCGAGGGGAUGACCCAAAGGGGACUCCGCGUCAGGUGCGUCUACGCUUUGUAAAGUUGAGUGAGGAGCUCAUCUACUACCGGUGCGCUGACCCACAGAGGACGAUGCAUUGGGAGACGGCUAAAACUUUGUAAAGCUUAGGAAGGAACGCAGGGACCGAGGAGAUGACCCACAGGGGACUCCGCGUCAGGUGCGUCUAUGCUUUGUAAAGUUGAGUGAGGAGCUCAUCUGCCACCGGUGCGCUGACUCACAGGGGACGACUCGUUGGGAGAUGGCUAAAAUUUUGUAAAGCUUAGGCCGGAACGCAUCGAUCGAGACGAUGACCCACAGGGGACUCCGCGUCAGAUGCGUCUAUACUUUGUAAAGUUGAGUGAGGAGCUCAUCUGCCACUGGUACGCUGACCCACAGAGGACGACGUGUUGAGAGAUGGCUAAAACUUUGUAAAGCUUAUGAGGGAACGUAGCAAUCGAGGCGAUGACCCACAGGGGACACCGCAUCAGGUGCGUCUAAAUUUUGUAAAGUUGAGUUAGGAGAUCGACCCGAGGCGGGCAUCUGACAUUAAAUGAUUUGACAGCCGUUGCGUAUUUCAAAGGUGACAGUUGGGUGCCAUGCUCAUUCCCCUAAUUAUAGACGGCUGGGGGUGACAGAGGUGAUGCAUUUUGUGCGAGCGUGAGAGUCACAGUAAGAUCUUAGGCGUAGAUCAAAUCUGGAGUUUCAUUUCAACGGCCUAGAUUGAUGAUGCGACGAAUGGCCUAGAUUGAUUGCAUUUGGAUUGAACGGUGGAGAUUAGCUGGAACGUUCUAUAAAAGGCGGACUUGAAGCGUCUUUGAAGAUUUUCACCCUUGUCCAAACAGAAAACUCACUUUGCUCUCAAAUCAUUCGCGAUUUUCGGCGUUUUUCGAGCUUUUCCGGCAAGAAAUAUCAAUUUUCGACGACCUUACAUCAUUUUCUGACCAUUUUCGGCUGGGGAACCUUCUAAAUUUGUAAGUUUCAGUAUCUUUUAGUAUAUUUAUUUUCUGAAAAAUGGCUUCUGAGGGAAGUUCAGGUUCGGGGAGGGGCCAGAAUUAGUGAGAAUGGACGAGCCCACUGUGGUGACCUCCUCCGAUAUAGCCGAAGCGAUAAUUGGGGAGAGAACAUAUGGAAGGGGCCGGAUAGCCCGACUGAUACUUUCGUGCACUAGGGGGGUCGGAUUACCCCUCUAAACUAAAGGAGGCCGACCUAGAGAGACUUAGGGUAGAAUAUAGGAUUCCAGAUAGCGUAAAUCUGAUCCUCCCCGAGUCUGAAGAGAGGGCCUGCUACCCUAGGCCGGGGUGUGUGGCCAUAAGUGAGGCGAUUCUUAGAGCCGGCCUUAGGCUUCCAAUUCACCCUUUCUUUAGGAUGGUACUUAGGUCCUGUGGGUUACUCUCGACCCAUCUCAACCCGAACUCCUGGAGCCAAAUGGUGGGCUCUUGGAUGUUAUGGAAAGAGGCGUCACUUGGGGUUGAGAUGCCAUUCUCCGUCUUUCAGACCCUUUAUAUCCCUAAAGUGACAGCUGAGGGGAUAGGACCCAGGGCUAGUAUUACCUUACCUCAUGUGGUUUCCAUACUCUAUUCGUGCUCGAUCUGCUGAGCUCCAUUAAAGAGUGGAAGGGCUUGUGGUAUUGGGCCGCAGGACGAUGGGACACGAUGGAGGGGGACCCCUGAUGCCUCUUACAAUCCCCACGAAGUACUCGACACUUAGUGAGUAUCACGGUUGUGUUUCUUUAUAUUUCUCUUCGGUUCAAAUCGUGACUAACAUUUAUGUUUCGUUUGAAGGUACUCUUCCUCGGUACAAACUGUCUUUUGAGGACUUCGAUACCAUUUGCAUCAUCUAUCAACUGCCUCAGAAGAAGAGGUCAUACCAUCGGCUGAUAAAAAAAAUCUACAGUUCGUUACACACGACCUGAUGGCAUCUCAAGGUAACUAUCCCGAAGCCUUUACCCUUCCAUAUUUCUGAACUCUUUACAUUUGUACUGAUUCAUUGUUUGUUCUUUGCAGAUAACUUCAACAAGAAGAUGCCCGUGCGUCCCGACUUUAAGACCAUCCAAAAGAUGAUGGCAAAGGCAGGGGCGCUGAAGACUUCCUCCUCCACCUACAAAAAGCAAAUGGAGGACCUGGUGGAUGCCAGUAAAAGGCUCCAGCCUUCAACAGAGGAGGAGGUGCCAGAGGACCCCGCGGGGGAUCUAUUGCGGAAGGGCAAGAAAAGAGCCGUCCUUUCCAAACGCCCAACUGUGGCGAGGCCACCCCCUAUUCUGAAGCAGACUACAAUUCCAACUGGGGCGGCCAUUCCGGAGAAGAGGUCUACACCAGCAGAGGUUGCUACUGCCCUGACCACUUCACCACUUGCUGCGGUGCCCAUUGCCCAAGUGUCGAGACAGCAGAGGAGAAAAAGGGCCUGUCCCUCUAAGGAGGUCGACUUCUUGGUCACCAAUCCGGAGGAGCCAGUUAAAGAAGUGUUGGAGGCUCUUCCUCCAGAAACGGCUGCGGUGGCUGUGGUCCACAACAAAUACUGGACUGAAGAGUGGAGGGACCACACCGCUUCCUGCACGGCCGAAGACUUGGUGUCGGCCAACAGUGCCUACGUGGCCAGGACUCUUAGCACCAGCAUCCAACUGGAGGGCUUGGUGAAGGAUUUAAAUGCUAAGAGGAAGGACCUCGCCAAGCGCCUGGAGGAGGCGAUGUACUAUGGGGAUGCUGUGAAGGAGGCCCGGGCCAAGGCCACUGAGGAGGAGAAGGGAAGGAAAGAGACCGAGGCCCAGCUAUCCGCCGCCAAAGCUGAAGUGGAGCGGAUGAAGAAGGAGCUAUAUGAGGUGGAGUGCUAGGUGGCUGCCAUGACUCGGUGAGUGGAUCACGCCAAUGAGCACCACCGGCUCGCCAUGAAGGCUCUGAAGGCCUUGAACAAAAAAAGGCGGAGCUGAGGCAAAAGGCGGAGGCUCAACCUGAGGAGAUCGCCUCUUUAAAGGAGGAGUUGAAGUCGGCAGAGGAGGUGGCGGUUCAGAAUUUUAUUGACCACUUCGAAGAACGCCCCCUGUACGACGACUUCGCCAACUUUUGGGCCUCAUGGAGUGUCCAAGGCUUGCUAGGUUGGCUGAAAGAGAUCCACCCCACUCUGGACAUCUCCACUUUGGAGGCGGAGUUCGGGAGACCAACUGGAGGCCGGCUUGACAGGCUUGCUGAAGAAGCUCUGGAGGUGGUCGAGGCAGAAGCGGCCCGAGAAGACCCUCCAGUAGAAUAGGGCCAACUUUUGUAAUGGC